rnacentral:rRNA from 1 species
GAUGAACGCUGGCGGCGUGCCUAAUACAUGCAAGUCGAGCGAACAGACGAGGAGCUUGCUCCUCUGACGUUAGCGGCGGACGGGUGAGUAACACGUGGAUAACCUACCUAUAAGACUGGGAUAACUUCGGGAAACCGGAGCUAAUACCAGAUAAUAUAUUGAACCGCAUGGUUCAAUAGUGAAAGACGGUUUUGCUGUCACUUAUAGAUGGAUCCGCGCCGCAUCAGCUAGUUGGUAAGGUAACGGCUUACCAAGGCAACGAUGCGUAGCCGACCUGAGAGGGUGAUCGGCCACACUGGAACUGAGACACGGUCCAGACUCCUACGGGAGGCAGCAGUAGGGAAUCUUCCGCAAUGGGCGAAAGCCUGACGGAGCAACGCCGCGUGAGUGAUGAAGGUCUUCGGAUCGUAAAACUCUGUUAUUAGGGAAGAACAAAUGUGUAAGUAACUAUGCACGUCUUGACGGUACCUAAUCAGAAAGCCACGGCUAACUACGUG